rnacentral:rRNA from 1 species
UACGGAGGGGGGCUAGCGUUGUUCGGAAUUACUGGGCGUAAAGCGCACGUAGGCGGCUUUGUAAGUUAGAGGUGAAAGCCCAGGGCUUAACCCUGGAAUUGCCUUUAAGACUGCAUCGCUAGAAUCGUGGAGAGGUGAGUGGAAUUCCCAGUGUAGAGGUGAAAUUCGUAGAUAUUUGGGAAGAACACCGGUGGCGAAGGCGGCUCACUGGCUCGUAUCUGACGCUCAGGCGCGACAGCGUGGGGAUCAAACAGG